rnacentral:rRNA from 1 species
UACGAAGGGGGGCUAGCGUUGUUCGGAUUUACUGGGCGUAAAGGGCGCGUAGGCGGCGUGGUAAGUCACUUGUGAAAUCUCUGAGCUUAACUCAGAACGGUCAAGUGAUACUGCUGUGCUAGAGUGCAGAAGGGGCAAUCGGAAUUCUUGGUGUAGCGGUGAAAUGCGUAGAUAUCAAGAGGAACACCUGAGGUGAAGACGGGUUGCUGGGCUGACACUGACGCUGAGGCGCGAAAGCCAGGGGGAGCAAACGGG